rnacentral:rRNA from 1 species
CAUGUCUUUUUGAAUAUAAUUUAAAGUCUAACCUGCCCAAUGAUUUAAUUUAAUGGCCGCGGUAUUUUAACUGUGCAAAGGUAGCAUAAUCAUUAGUUUUUUAAUUAAAAGCUGGAAUGAAUGGUUGAACGAAAUAAAAACUGUCUAAUUUAAAUAAUUAAAAUUUUAUUUUUAAGUUAAAAAGCUUAAAUAAAUUUAAAAGACGAGAAGACCCUAUAGAGCUUUAUAUAAAUUAUAUUAAUUGAUUAUUUAUAUUUAAAUAAUAAUUAAUUUAAUUUAUAUUUUAUUGGGGUUAUAUUAAGAUAUAUAAAAUUCUUAAUUAUUUAAAACAUUAAUUUAUGAUUAUUUGAUCCAAUUUUAUUGAUUAAAAGUUUAAGUUACCUUAGGGAUAACAGCGUAAUUUUUUUAAAGAGUUCUAAUCGAAAAAAAAGAUUGCGACCUCGAUGUUGGAUUAAAGAAAAUUUUAGGUGUAGUAGUUUAAAAUUUAAGUCUGUUCGACUUUUAAAUCUUUACAUGAUCUGAGU